rnacentral:rRNA from 1 species
AUUGAACGCUGUCGGCAGGCCUAACACAUGCAAGUCGAGCGAGCGGCGGACGGGUGAGUAAUGUAUGUGGACUGCCCUAUAGUGGGGGCUAACUACUGGAAACGGUGGCUAAUACCGCAUACUAUCGGCUAACCCCUAUGGGAUUAGCUAGUAGGUGGGGUAAAGGCUCACCUAGGCGACGAUCUGUAGCUGGUCUGCGAGGAUGAUCAGACACACUGGGACUGAGACACGGCCCAGACUCCUACGGAGGCAGCAGUGGGGAAUAUUGCACAAUGGGCGCAAGCCUGAUGCAGCCAUGCCGCGUGUAUGAAGAAGGCCUUAGGGUUGUAAAGUACUUUCAGAGGGGAGGCGUUACCCGAAGAAGAAGCACCGGCUAACUCCGUGCCAGCAGCCGCGGUAAUAC